rnacentral:tRNA from 1 species
GAGAGAGGCUUGCAAGCAACAAAGACUGCUAAUCUCUGCCCCCUUUGGUUGGAAUCCAAAGCUCCCUCG